CCUACGGGGGGCUGCAGUGGGGAAUAUUGGACAAUGGGGGCAACCCUGAUCCAGCCAUGCCGCGUGUGUGAAGAAGGCCCUCGGGUUGUAAAGCACUUUCAGUGAGGAAGAACGCCUGGUGGUUAAUACCCAUCAGGAAAGACAUCACUCACAGAAGAAGCACCGGCUAACUCCGUGCCAGCAGUCGCGGUAAUACGGAGGGUGCGAGCGUUAAUCGGAAUUACUGGGCGUAAAGCGCGCGUAGGUGGCUUGAUAAGCCGGUUGUGAAAGCCCCGGGCUCAACCUGGGAACGGCAUCCGGAACUGUCAAGCUAGAGUGCAGGAGAGGAAGGUAGAAUUCCCGGUGUAGCGGUGAAAUGCGUAGAGAUCGGGAGGAAUACCAGUGGCGAAGGCGGCCUUCUGGACUGACACUGACACUGAGGUGCGAAAGCGUGGGUAGCAAACAGGAUUAGAUACCCGAGUAGUC
rnacentral:rRNA from 1 species